rnacentral:rRNA from 1 species
UACGUAGGGUGCGAGUGUUAAUCGGAAUUACUGGGCGUAAAGCGUGCGUAGGCGGUCCGCAAAGUCUGAUGUGAAAGCCCCGGGCUCAACCUGGGAACUGCAUUGGAAACUAACGGGCUCGAGUGUGGCAGAGGGGGGUGGAAUUCCACGUGUAGCAGUGAAAUGCGUAGAGAUGUGGAGGAACACCGAUGGCGAAGGCAGCCCCCUGGGCUAACACUGACGCUCAGGCACGAAAGCGUGGGGAGCAAACAGG